rnacentral:rRNA from 1 species
CCCUUAGAUGUUCUGGGCCGCACGCGCGCUACACUGACGAUGGCAACGAGUUUUUCCUUCGCCGAAAGGAGUGGGUAAUCUUUUGAAACAUCGUCGUGCUGGGGAUAGAUCAUUGCAAUUUUUGAUCUUGAACGAGGAAUUCCUAGUAAGCGCGAGUCAUCAGCUCGCGUUGAUUACGUCCCUGCCCUUUGUACACACCGCCCGUCGCUACUACCGAUUGAAUGGUUUAGUGAGGACUCCUGAUUGGCGCCGCCGCCCCGGCAACGGAGCAGCGGACUGCCGAAAAGUUGUUCAAACUUGAUCAUUUAGAGGAAGUAAAAGUCGUAACA